GGAGCUCAUUCAGUUCAUUCAAUUAUUGUCAACGAUAUCUUUAAUAUCUUUAAUCAUCUUUGUUACCAGCAAUAGUGACCGACAGUGAUAAAUAUUACUUAUUUAAAAAGGGACAAAACGCAGUGUAGUGCAGUCACCCUCCUAGGUAUUAGGUAUUAUCAUUGGCUUUUUAUAAAAAGGGAUCAUGUCAGCCAAAAAGGUUCUUAAGCUUCUGAUUUUUACUAUAACUUCAUUAGUAAAGACUUUGCAGACAACCUACAGCGAAGAUGCAGCGCGCGACGGACUGAAGAACUGUACUAAGGCUGUACGAACUAUUAAAAUGCUAUUGAAGAAGGCAACCACGGUAGGCGAGAAGCAACAACUUUUAUCGCAGCUGGCUAACGUUAAAAGUUAUAGAAAUCAAAUAAAAGUUUCUGUAAGACAUGGUUCAGGGAUGACGGGCGAGGUUUUAACCUCUUCUAGACCAUCAAAAAGAGUAAACAAACAAACAAACAAACAAA